rnacentral:ncRNA from 2 species
GGUCAUGAGUGUCAGCGACAAGCCCUGGCUCGCUGACCGGCAACCCUCGCAUCGCGGUGGGGUGCCCCAGGUGACGACCGGACCGGAUGACUUCGGUAAGCGCGAGGG